GCAGUAGCCGCGGGAAUACGGAGGGUGCAAGCGUUAUCCGGAUUUAUUGGGUUUAAAGGGUCCGUAGGCGGAUCUGUAAGUCAGUGGUGAAAUCUCACAGCUUAACUGUGAAACUGCCAUUGAUACUGCAGGUCUUGAGUAAAUUUGAAGUGGCUGGAAUAAGUAGUGUAGCGGUGAAAUGCAUAGAUAUUACUUAGAACACCAAUUGCGAAGGCAGGUUACCAAGAUAUAACUGACGCUGAGGGACGAAAGCGUGGGUAGCGAACAGGAUUAGAUACCCCAGUAGUCCCUGUCUCUUAUAC
rnacentral:rRNA from 1 species